CAAUUAGAUUGAGGUUGCAGAGAUCAUGAGUCACCAGUCGGAGGCGAAAAGCGUCAUUGAGGGCUGGCAAAAGGGUGAUCUGCCGAAAUGCUUAAUUGCUUUUUCAAUUAAGUGUUGGGGCUUGGCUGAAUAAGUCAAGUACUGUCGUGAUGAAGUCAUCACGGGGCGCUAUCGACUGA
rfam:Lactobacillus coryniformis subsp. coryniformis CECT 5711 COR000045, whole genome shotgun sequence.